rnacentral:misc_RNA from 1 species
AUGAAGAACGCAGCGAAAUGCGAUACUUGGUGUGAAUUGCAGAAUCCCGUGAACCAUCGAGUCUUUGAACGCAAGUUGCGCCCGAAGCCAUUAGGCCGAGGGCACGCCUGCCUGGGCGUCACACGUCGUUGCCCCCCCAUCUACUCCUUCGGGAUUGCGGGGGGCGGAUGAUGGCCUCCCGUGCGCCUCGCCGCGCGGUUGGCAUAAAUGCCAAGUCCUCGGCGACGCACGCCACGACAAUCGGUGGUUGCGAAACCUCGGUUGCCCGUCGUGUGCGGUCGUCGCGCAUCGAGGGCUCGAAAAAAUUGCCGGGUUCCGGCUCGGCUUUCAACGCGACCCCAGGUCAGGCGGGGUUACCCGCUGAAUUUAAGCAUAUCAAUAAGGGAGGA